GCUCAUUUUCACCCUUCUACCACCCUUCUACCCUCACGCGACUUCCCGAUACAGGCUCUCCUUUUUCCUAACUCUACGUCUAUUUCUUUCUUUAUUCCUCUAAUUAACUACCGUAUUUUAUCUCAUUGAACGAUUAAGACAGUAUUUUAUCUUAUUGAACGAUUGUGAUAAAGAACAGAAAAAGGAGAGCCUGUGUAGAGGCUAGUCUUCCUUUAGUGCCUCAUGACCUCUCAUGGUGUUACACUGAUGUUGUGCUUUAUUUAGAGUUAGAGUAAAACUAAAGAAACAAAGACUUUUUACUACAGAAUAACUACAAUUUUACAAGGUUUGAUCCCUUUUUAAGAAACAGUACUCAUCCAUAUUACUAUUCUUCAAGUUUUCCUGGUUGUAUGUAUGUAGGUUGAUCUACUGAAAGGCAAAAAUCGCCUAUUCAUACCAUUUAGAAUGUGUUGUAGUGUUGCGUAUGGCUUAUUUCAUCUGACGUUUUAUGCUCCCUUUUUAAGAAACACACAUGCUUUUAAAAUUAUACUGACUUCAUGAGAGUGUUUAUCAAUGUCAGGUCCAUCAACUGGCACAGGUUUUGUGCUUUAAAUUUUUGUCAGUUGCAGAAAAUAUGACUGGAGGUGUAAGGCCUGAUUAUCGGCUUAUAUAGUAAGAAACAGAACUGGGAUAGAAAGCUCCAGUCAUACUAUUAGAUCUUCAUCGUACUAUCAGUAUGCUGGAAGAAAUUUAUGAAGCUGAAGAAGGAAGAGUUGAUUGACUAUUUUGGGCUACAUAAUUAAAAAACGAAAUGAAAGACUUUGUUACAUGCAAAAGACCUGUACAGUUGUAUAGCACCAGCUCUACUUCAUGCAGUAGCAGCAGUAGCAGUUCAUUAUGCAGCUUAUUAUGGCAGUUUAACUUUAUAUGACUUGUGAAAUGUUGAUAAUUUAUUAAAAUUUGGUAUUAAUAAAAUGUCGUACAGAACAUG